rnacentral:rRNA from 1 species
AGAUUGAACGCUGGCGGCAUGCUUUACACAUGCAAGUCGAACGGUAACAGGCCGCAAGGUGCUGACGAGUGGCGAACGGGUGAGUAAUGCAUCGGAACGUGCCCAGUCGUGGGGGAUAACGCAGCGAAAGCUGUGCUAAUACCGCAUACGAUCUAUGGAUGAAAGCGGGGGACCGAAAGGCCUCGCGCGAUUGGAGCGGCCGAUGUCAGAUUGGCUAGUUGGUGGGGUAAAGGCCCACCAAGGCGACGAUCUGUAGCUGGUCUGAGAGGACGACCAGCCACACUGGAACUGAGACACGGUCCAGACU